GCCGAUGUGGCUCAGUGGUAGAGCAGCUGAUUCGUAAUCAGCAGGUCACGGGUUCAAAUCCCGUCAUCGGCU
rnacentral:tRNA from 1 species